UGGCGGACGGGUGAGUAACGCGUGAGAAUCUGCCUCCAGGUUCGGGACAACCACUGGAAACGGUGGCUAAUACCGGAUGUGCCUUAGGUGAAAGAUUAAUCGCCUGGAGAGGAGCUCGCGUCUGAUUAGCUAGUUGGUGGGGUAAAGGCUCACCAAGGCUCCGAUCAGUAGCUGGUCUGAGAGGACGAUCAGCCACACUGGGACUGAGACACGGCCCAGACUCCUACGGGAGGCAGCAGUGGGGAAUUUUCCGCAAUGGGCGAAAGCCUGACGGAGCAAUACCGCGUGAGGGAGGAAGGCUCUUGGGUUGUAAACCUCUUUUCUCAGGGAAGAAGCUCUGACGGUACCUGAGGAAUCAGCAUCGGCUAACUCCGUGCCAGCAGCCGCGGUAAUACGGAGGAUGCAAGCGUUAUCCGGAAUGAUUGGGCGUAAAGCGUUCGCAGGUGGUGAUGUAAGUCUGCUGUUAAAAGUCGGGGCUCAACCCCGAACCGGCGGUGGAAAC
rnacentral:rRNA from 1 species